UUUUACAGCCAUACCACUCUGAACACACCCGAUCUCAUCUGAUCUCAGAAGCUAAGCAGGAUCAUGCCGGGUUUAUACUGGGAUGGGAGAAAUCCCAGGGACAACUAAAGAAAACCAAGUCUUGAAAAUG
ensembl:rRNA 5S_rRNA 5S ribosomal RNA